rnacentral:rRNA from 1 species
GUUAUAUGGUCAAGUGAAGAAGCGCAUACGGUGGAUGCCUUGGCAGUCAGAGGCGAUGAAAGACGUGGUAGCCUGCGAAAAGCUUCGGGGAGUCGGCAAACAGACUGUGAUCCGGAGAUGUCUGAAUGGGGGAACCCAGCCAUCACAAGAUGGUUAUCUUACGCUGAAUACAUAGGCGUAAGAGGCGAACCAGGGGAACUGAAACAUCUAAGUACCCUGAGGAAAAGAAAUCAACCGAGAUUCCCUUAGUAGUGGCGAGCGAACGGGGACCAGCCCUUAAGUUGUAUCGAGAUUAGCGGAACGCUCUGGAAAGUGCGGCCAUAGUGGGUGAUAGCCCUGUACGCGAAAAUCCCUUUGCAAUGAAAUCGAGUAGGACGGGGCACGAGAAACCUUGUCUGAAUAUGGGGGGACCAUCCUCCAAGGCUAAAUACUACUGACUGACCGAUAGUGAACCAGUACCGUGAGGGAAAGGCGAAAAGAACCGCGGAGAGCGGAGUGAAAUAGAUCCUGAAACCGUAUGCGUACAAGCAGUGGGAGCCCACGUUGUUGGGUGACUGCGUACCUUUUGUAUAAUGGGUCAGCGACUUAUUUUCAGUGGCGAGCUUAACCGAAUAGGGGAGGCGUAGCGAAAGCGAGUCUUAAUAGGGCGUCUAGUCGCUGGGAAUAGACCCGAAACCGGGCGAUCUAUCCAUGGGCAGGUUGAAGGUUGGGUAACACUAACUGGAGGACCGAACCGACUACCGUUGAAAAGUUAGCGGAUGACCUGUGGAUCGGAGUGAAAGGCUAAUCAAGCUCGGAGAUAGCUGGUUCUCCUCGAAAGCUAUUUAGGUAGCGCCUCAUGUAUCACUGUAGGGGGUAGAGCACUGUUUCGGCUAGGGGGUCAUCCCGACUUACCAAACCGAUGCAAACUCCGAAUACCUACAAGUGCCGAGCAUGGGAGACACACGGCGGGUGCUAACGUCCGUCGUGAAAAGGGAAACAACCCAGACCGUCAGCUAAGGUCCCAAAGUCAUGGUUAAGUGGGAAACGAUGUGGGAAGGCUUAGACAGCUAGGAGGUUGGCUUAGAAGCAGCCACCCUUUAAAGAAAGCGUAAUAGCUCACUAGUCGAGUCGGCCUGCGCGGAAGAUGUAACGGGGCUCAAACCAUGCACCGAAGCUACGGGUAUCAUCUUAGGAUGAUGCGGUAGAGGAGCGUUCUGUAAGCCUGUGAAGGUGAGUUGAGAAGCUUGCUGGAGGUAUCAGAAGUGCGAAUGCUGACAUGAGUAACGACAAUGGGUGUGAAAAACACCCACGCCGAAAGACCAAGGUUUCCUGCGCAACGUUAAUCGACGCAGGGUUAGUCGGUCCCUAAGGCGAGGCUGAAAAGCGUAGUCGAUGGAAAACAGGUUAAUAUUCCUGUACUUCUGGUUAUUGCGAUGGAGGGACGGAGAAGGCUAGGCCAGCCUGGCGUUGGUAGUCCAGGUUUAAGGUGGUAGGCUGAGAUCUUAGGUAAAUCCGGGAUCUCAAGGCCGAGAGCUGAUGACGAGUGUUCUUUUAGAACACGAAGUGGUUGAUGCCAUGCUUCCAAGAAAAGCUUCUAAGCUUCAGGUAACCAGGAACCGUACCCCAAACCGACACAGGUGGUUGGGUAGAGAAUACCAAGGCGCUUGAGAGAACUCGGGUGAAGGAACUAGGCAAAAUGGCACCGUAACUUCGGGAGAAGGUGCGCCGGUGAGGGUGAAGCAUUUACUGCGUAAGCCCAUGCCGGUCGAAGAUACCAGGCCGCUGCGACUGUUUAUUAAAAACACAGCACUCUGCAAACACGAAAGUGGACGUAUAGGGUGUGACGCCUGCCCGGUGCCGGAAGGUUAAUUGAUGGGGUUAGCGCAAGCGAAGCUCUUGAUCGAAGCCCCGGUAAACGGCGGCCGUAACUAUAACGGUCCUAAGGUAGCGAAAUUCCUUGUCGGGUAAGUUCCGACCUGCACGAAUGGCGUAACGAUGGCGGCGCUGUCUCCACCCGAGACUCAGUGAAAUUGAAAUCGCUGUGAAGAUGCAGUGUAUCCGCGGCUAGACGGAAAGACCCCGUGAACCUUUACUAUAGCUUUGCACUGGACUUUGAAUUUGCUUGUGUAGGAUAGGUGGGAGGCUUUGAAGCGUGGACGCCAGUCUGCGUGGAGCCAACCUUGAAAUACCACCCUGGCAACUUUGAGGUUCUAACUCAGGUCCGUUAUCCGGAUCGAGGACAGUGUAUGGUGGGUAGUUUGACUGGGGCGGUCUCCUCCUAAAGAGUAACGGAGGAGUACGAAGGUGCGCUCAGACCGGUCGGAAAUCGGUCGUAGAGUAUAAAGGCAAAAGCGCGCUUGACUGCGAGACAGACACGUCGAGCAGGUACGAAAGUAGGUCUUAGUGAUCCGGUGGUUCUGUAUGGAAGGGCCAUCGCUCAACGGAUAAAAGGUACUCCGGGGAUAACAGGCUGAUACCGCCCAAGAGUUCAUAUCGACGGCGGUGUUUGGCACCUCGAUGUCGGCUCAUCACAUCCUGGGGCUGAAGCCGGUCCCAAGGGUAUGGCUGUUCGCCAUUUAAAGUGGUACGCGAGCUGGGUUUAGAACGUCGUGAGACAGUUCGGUCCCUAUCUGCCGUGGACGUUUGAGAUUUGAGAGGGGCUGCUCCUAGUACGAGAGGACCGGAGUGGACGAACCUCUGGUGUUCCGGUUGUCACGCCAGUGGCAUUGCCGGGUAGCUAUGUUCGGAAAAGAUAACCGCUGAAAGCAUCUAAGCGGGAAACUUGCCUCAAGAUGAGAUCUCACUGGAACCUUGAGUUCCCUGAAGGGCCGUCGAAGACUACGACGUUGAUAGGUUGGGUGUGUAAGCGCUGUGAGGCGUUGAGCUAACCAAUACUAAUUGCCCGUGAGGCUUGACCAUAUAACACCCAAGCAAUU